rnacentral:lncRNA from 10 species
UCUCAAUGUACUUUCAAGAGAGGGACCGUGGAAACAUUUUCUGCAGAAAAAUCAGCAUGCGGCCUCCCAAGGUGACUGCUUGGAAGGGUGACACAUUAAGGUCAUGGUUGAUGCCUGGGAGCCUCCUGGAACUCACCCCUACAGACCAAAGUCACAGAAAUCUCAGCUUCUGCUGUUUCUUCCCUGUGUGGGGCGUCUAUUGUGAUGAUAGAAUCCUAAAAUGCUUGAACUGAAAGGAACCCCGGGGAUCACCACUCGCCCUAUUUCUUCGUGUUAUAGAUGAUGAAACUGACGCCCAGAUAAAUUAGAGUCCAGCAAAAGUUAGUGACAAAAUUACGAAGCAACCUAGCUUAGAAUGCAGGCAGAAGAUGGGAAGGAGGAGGUGGUAUUUUUUGAACUCCUACUGUGUGCCAGGCUUAAAACUUGCAAUCCCAUUUAAUUUUCAACUGAGGGCUUUUCAAAGCAAGGGCAGUGAUGGUACAGGAAAGGGGUCCCGAUCCAGACAUCAAAAGAGGGUUCUUGGAUCUCAUGCAAGAAAGAAUUCAGGAUGAGUCCAUAGAGUAAAGUGAAAGCAAGUUUAUUAGGAAAGUGAAAGAAUAAAAGAAUGGGACUACUCCAUAGACAGAGCAGCCCCAAGGGCUGCUGGUUGCUCAUUUUUAUGUUUUUUUUUUUUUGAUGGUAUGCUAAACAAGAGGUGGACUAUUCAUGCCUCCCCUUUUUAGACCAUAUAGGGUAACUUCCUGACCUUACCAUGGCAUUUGUAAACUGUCAUCGUGCUGGUGGAAGUGUAGCAGUGAGGAGUGAGGACGGCCAGAGGUCACUCUUGUCACCAUCUUGGUUUUGGUGGGUUUUAGCCGGCUUCUUUACUGCAACCUGUUUUAUCAGCAAGGUCUUUAUGACCUGUAUGUGGUGCUGACCUCCUAUCUCAUCCUGUGACUUAGAAUGCCUUAACCCUCUGGGAAUGCAGCCCAGUAGGUCUCAGCCUCAUUUUACCCAACUCCUAUUCAAGAUGGAGUUGCUCUGGUUCACACACCUCUGACAGUGAGUCUCUACGUGGUUGAAGGACUUGGCCAAUGUCACAAAGUGCCCAGUGGAGGAGCCAGUAGGGAGGAGGCUGUGUGGCCUCCCUCUGAAGCCCCAGUUUGUUCUUUAUUCUACAGCCUGGUGAAAUCUUGAAAGUGGACUCUAUCUGCUCUGAAAGCACUCAGAAAUGGAAGAGAAAGUAAGGUCUUCCCUCAGUGACAUGGCCUGCACCCUCUCACCUUGCCCAGCAACUGCUUCUGUUCUCUUGCUCUGAAUUGUCCUUUGCAACCUACUAAGGCAUGUUGCCUGCAAGGAUCAUUUAGAAUGUUGGACAAGGCUCCUCGAGAUCCCUAGCAGCUAGGCCCAUAAUCUCAGCACUGUGAUUCAACUCAGGUUUAGCAUAUACAUGCCUAUUUUUGUUUCUUCACUAGAAAGCUGUGUUGCUAAAGGAGGUGGGAAAUUCACUUGGGUUUACCAAAUAGGAAAUCAGUCUAGAACCAUCUUUGUGGGCUGGGUCCCACCCCAGAGCCCUUUCCAAACACAUGAGGAUUGCAAUAGUGGUAUUUUCAUUUCUGCCUCCACUUCUGUGGCAAAUGGGAUUUCAAGGUCACAAAAACAAUCUCAUUUUUUACGCUCCUUGACUCUUUGUAUUCAUGGUUCAGUAUUAAUUUUGUUUAUUCUAGUUGGUAU